GGAGCUUGCUCCUGGAUUCAGCGGCGGACGGGUGAGUAAUGCCUAGGAAUCUGCCUGGUAGUGGGGGAUAACGUCCGGAAACGGGCGCUAAUACCGCAUACGUCCUGAGGGAGAAAGUGGGGGAUCUUCGGACCUCACGCUAUCAGAUGAGCCUAGGUCGGAUUAGCUAGUUGGUGGGGUAAAGGCCUACCAAGGCGACGAUCCGUAACUGGUCUGAGAGGAUGAUCAGUCACACUGGAACUGAGACACGGUCCAGACUCCUACGGGAGGCAGCAGUGGGGAAUAUUGGACAAUGGGCGAAAGCCUGAUCCAGCCAUGCCGCGUGUGUGAAGAAGGUCUUCGGAUUGUAAAGCACUUUAAGUUGGGAGGAAGGGCAGUAAGUUAAUACCUUGCUGUUUUGACGUUACCAACAGAAUAAGCACCGGCUAACUUCGUGCCAGCAGCCGCGGUAAUACGAAGGGUGCAAGCGUUAAUCGGAAUUUACUGGGCGUAAAGCGCGCGUAGGUGGUUCAGCAAGUUGGAUGUGAAAUCCCCG
rnacentral:rRNA from 1 species